rnacentral:lncRNA from 1 species
GCUGUUUCUAGGGACUCGGGCUCCUGGUCCAGCUUUAGAAGAACUCGGUUUCUCAUGCCUUGUUGUCACAGCCCCUGCUGCAACCUGUGGUUAGUUCUCCCCUGCCCCUGCAGGACUGCAUUUUAAGGAAUCCACCAGCUCCUUGGUCUCCUCACUAUGGCUGGUUACUUGCUACCACGCACUCUUACCAGGAAAAUGCCUGGUUCUUACAAGGAUGAGAACGAGAGAUUCUGGAUGGUUGUAGGCCUGGAAUUUAUUUUCCGUGCAACAACAGAUAACACGCCUCUAAUGUCUAUCACUGUCACGUUGUGGAAUGUGGGCAGAUGCUGCAAUGAACCUUUUACCCGUUUCUUCCCAAGUGCGAUGUGUCUCCCUGGUAUGUGGCAGAGACAUUCUCCGUUUUCAUACAGUGAAGUUGACUCAAACUUCUGGACCGUAAUAGAGCAUUCCCAGAUUAGUGACAGAGAACAUCUGGUCCUGAACCUGGAGUACGCCUAUGAUCCUGCGAAUGGCUGUGGCUGCUUCUCAGAGCAUCCCUGAAUUUAUGAUGAUCUGCUUCUGUGAGCCUGGCUGUCUGUGUCCUGAACCUUCUCCCUUCCUGGGUACAGCUUCCCUUUUCUUGACUUCAUUUUCCUGAGAUGCUGACCUCACAGCUUGUCCUUAUAUGACACCUCUUCCCUUUGAACCCCUCUCCUGGGAUCCCAGUGCAGCAUGGCUCUCAGGUGACUGUGAUCUGGAGGAACCUGUGGAGCAGGUAUGGAUGGGGACUCCAUGCCCUGUGGAUCUCUGAGCUACCAAUGCUGACUAGAAUUGACCUCGAGCUGGAUAGAGGACUCUGUGCUCAAUGGCUUGAAGACACAAUGGGAUGUGUGCAGGAGCAUCUGGUGUACUUCUCCUAUAUGCUCAGUACUUGGCUCCUAUAUGUGAUGCUGACCAAAACCCCACCCCAAACUUGUUUUAACCAAUUAAAAUUUACUG